GUCUACAGCCAUACCAUCCUGAACGUGCCCAAUCUUAUUUGAUCUCGGAAGCUAAGCAGGGUCGGGCCUGGUUAGUACUUUGAUGAGAAACCACCUAGGAAUACCAGGUGCUGGAGGCG
rnacentral:rRNA from 1 species